GGAUUAGAUACCCUGGUAGUCCACGCCCUAAACGAUGGAUACUAGGUGUUGGGAGAUUCGACCCUCUCAGUGCCGUAGCUAACGCGUUAAGUAUCCCGCCUGGGGAGUACGAUCGCAAGGUUGAAACUCAAAGGAAUUGACGGGGGCCCGCACAAGCGGUGGAGCAUGUGGUUUAAUUCGAUGCAACGCGAAGAACCUUACCUGGGCUUGAACUGUCUUGGAAACUUCCUGAAAGGGAAGCCUCCUUCGGGACCGAGUCAGAGGUGCUGCAUGGCUGUCGUCAGCUCGUGCCG
rnacentral:rRNA from 1 species